GACGAACGCUGGCGGCGUGCUUAACACAUGCAAGUCGAACGGAAAGGCCCUGCUUUUGUGGGGUGCUCGAGUGGCGAACGGGUGAGUAACACGUGAGUAACCUGCCCUUGACUUUGGGACAACUUCAGGAAACUGGGGCUAAUACCGGAUAGGAGCUCCUGCUGCAUGGUGGGGGUUGGAAAGUUUCGGCGGUUGGGGAUGGACUCGCGGCUUAUCAGCUUGUUGGUGGGGUAGUGGCUUACCAAGGCUUUGACGGGUAGCCGGCCUGAGAGGGUGACCGGCCGCAUUGGGACUGAGAUACGGCCCAGACUCCUACGGGAGGCAGCAGUGGGGAAUAUUGCACAAUGGGCGGAAGCCUGAUGCAGCAACGCCGCGUGCGGGAUGACGGCCUUCGGGUUGUAAACCGCUUUCGCCUGUGACGAAGCGUGAGUGACGGUAAUGGGUAAAGAAGCACCGGCUAACUACGUG
rnacentral:rRNA from 1 species